UGGCGGUCUCUGGCCGUCCGAGUUGUAAUCUAGAGAAGUAAUGCCCGCGCUGGACCGUGUACAAGUCUCCUGGAAUGGAGCGUCAUAGAGGGUGAGAAUCCCGUCUCUGACACGGACUACCAGGGCUUUGUGGUAUGCUCUCAAAGAGUCGAGUUGUUUGGGAAUGCAGCUCAAAAUGGGUGGUAAAUUCCAUCUAAAGCUAAAUAUUGGCGAGAGACCGAUAGCGAACAAGUACCGUGAGGGAAAGAUGAAAAGAACUUUGGAAAGAGAGUUAAACAGUACGUGAAAUUGCUGAAAGGGAAACGCUUGAAGUCAGUCGCGUUGGCCAGGGAUCAGCCUCGCUCUUGCGUGGUGUACUUCCUGGUUGACGGGUCAGCAUCAAUUCUGACCGCUGGAAAAAGGCCUGGGGAAUGUGGCAGCUUCGGCUGUGUUAUAGCCCCUGGUCACAUACGGCGGUUGGGAUUGAGGAACUCAGCACGCCGCAAGGCCGGGUUUCGACCACGUUCGUGCUUAGGAUGCUGGCAUAAUGGCUUUAAGCGACCCGUCUUGAAACACGGACCAAGGAGUCUAACAUGCCUGCGAGUGUUUGGGUGGAAAACCCGAGCGCGUAAUGAAAGUGAAAGUUGAGAUCCCUGUCGUGGGGAGCAUCGACGCCCGGACCAGAACUUUUGGGACGGAUCCGCGGUAGAGCAUGUAUGUUGGGACCCGAAAGAUGGUGAACUAUGCCUGAAUAGGGUGAAGCCAGAGGAAACUCUGGUGGAGGCUCGUAGCGAUUCUGACGUGCAAAUCGAUCGUCAAAUUUGGGUAUAGGGGCGAAAGACUAAUCGAACCUCCGUCGGU
rnacentral:rRNA from 1 species